rnacentral:lncRNA from 1 species
UGUGUAUAUUUUGUGUACGGUUGUUUUAGACAGAGAUUUAGGAUUGGGGGUAGAGGUAGGAUUAGGGGUUGGGGUGAAGGUUAAGUGGGCAUUCUAGGUCGAUUUAGAUACUGCAAAGCGGUCAUCCAGGAGAAACUUCCAGCAUGUUCAAAAUGUAAGUAGGAUUUCUACUGCUUCUCUUUAUAUCCUGGAGUGAUGACUCGGACCCCGCUCCCUUGGGACUGUCUAAGUCAGUCACCCGACUCAUUUGCUGAGUCCAGAAAAGAUUGAGUGAGUAAAAAUGAGUGGCAGGCAGUGGCACCGUCUUGUACCCAAUAUUGAGGGGGCCCAACGUUACACACACGCAACGUCACACGUGCAACGUGUGGCUCAUGCACAUCAUCAACAUUUUUAUUAUUUAUUGAAUUUAUAUACCUGCUGUUGAAUAGUGGGUAGACAUGGCAGACGACACAGCGAUUUCUCCAAAGCAGCUCUUUAUUUUGUAAGCUGGAACAGAACUGAACAGCAAACAGCUCAGCCGGCCUGCUUUUAUAGGCAGCCGGCUGUCAACAUUGUAGCAACAACAACCCAGGGUUUCCCGCCUAAAAUAACUGACGUGGACCUGAGUGAAAACUGUCUACAGUAUCCCCCUGCUGGCCCAGGGUGAGAACUUCAGUACAUAACACCUGCCUAUACCCGGAGGUCUCAGGGCGGUUCACAGAUUAAAAUCAAGAUAUAAAAGAUAUAAAACCACAAAAUGCAUAAUAAAAAUAAAAACAAUAACCCAAUAGCCCCCGCCAAUAAAAACACAUUUUAAAAGGGCAUAGGAUGUCAAUCAGAUCAACCAAAGACCUGGUUAAAAAGGAACGUUUUUGCCUGGCACCUAAAGGUGUGUAAUGAAAGGGCCAAAGGCUUUCACAUCUGGCUUCCUCGUUAGCCUGAUAGGGAAUUCUAACAGGCUCAUCUCACCCCCGCACCUUAAUGCAUUUGUCAUUUUGCUUAAUAUACUAAGAAAGAUUACGAUAAUCCCUCGGGGGAGCUGGAGGGUUAGGGAUCGGGAACAGAGUUGUUUUUAUUUGGCAAGGCCGCUAAAUCUCCAAACCAAGCCACUAGUCCUUAUUACUACUCAGAGGAGGAGGACACAGAUCGAAUACCUGACUAAAUUCUAUUUUCUGAACAGUCGCUUUCCUUGUGAGAGGUGAACCCCAGCCUAUACCAUUUCCAGGCUGAUGAGUGCACAGCUUAAUGAAUGCCACAAAUCCUUAUGAUUGAAUGAAAUGCUUCUGAUUAUUUACAUGUUUACUUUAAUAAAUAUGGCUCUGAUUAAACAACAGCUCCUGAUUGUGAAGCCGAGAUGGUUCGUCAUUGGCAUGCUGCUUUGAGAAAAAUCUGUGCAGCUGCUUGUCGGUCCUAUUUUUGGCUAUACUGUGUGUGGGGAGCAGAGUAGCUGAUCUGGCUAUCUGCCUAGAAGGGGCCUUGCAGGUAAAGGAGUGGCUUGGAGGCCUUUAAGGAGUAUGAAUCAUGGCGUGAUAAUAGAAUCUCUUUCUGAAUUUAUUUUUAAAAAGCUUACAAAAGCACCACUUGCAAAAAAAACUAGAGCUACUGAAAGAAGCCAUGCAUAAUAUAAAACCAAAUGAAAUUCAUCAAACUGGGAGCCCCUUUUUUCUCCUCCCCAACUGAAAAACUUAAAAUUAAGCUGGAUAUUAAAAUGCAUCUUAUUGCCACAGGCAGUUGUAGAUCGUCAUUUUGCAUUCAUAGCAUUGCACAGACCAGCAAAGCCAGCAAACCCUGGGUACUGGAAUGACUCUAGCAGUCCACGUUGGCCAUUGGAUCAUUGAACCAUGGUGGUGGUGCUUCUCAGAGAAAAAUCUUGUUCCUUGCUAAUUUGCAUCUAUGUAGGUCUUUGCCUGCAUUCAAGUUUUGAAAUGGCUCCUUGGGUAUCACUGAGGGGAUGGGGAGCUGUUACUGCACUGCAACUGUCAGGGAGCUGACAAGGAGAGCAGGUUGUUCACAGACCAGAGAAAGACAGUGAAACCGCUUGGCUAACUUGCAGCUAGUUUCUUUAUGAAGGAAGCAGAACAAAGAACACAUGGAGACUUCUAAGUGUUGCUCCUGUCUUGAUGAAGCAGUUGCCCAGACUGCCCACUUCCCUCCCUAGCCCUCUGUGUCAGACCCAUCUCUCUGUCUACGGCGAGUCCCAAGGGACCCUCUCUGUGUCCGCUUGGCUGUCUGAUCAGUGACGUCCAAUACAGUCAUAGCUCAUAUUACGUUUGCUUCAGGUUGCGCGUUUUCAGGUUGCAUCCCGCAGCAACCCGGAAGUAAUGGAACGGGUUACUUCCGGGUUUCGCCGCUCGCGCAUGCGCAGACGCACAAAAUGAAGUCACACGCAUGCGCAGAAGCUGCGAAUGGCGACCCACGUGUGUGCAGAUGCACAGGCGUGGGUUACGUUCUUUUCAGGCUGCAAAUGGGCCUCCGGAAUGGAUCCCGUUCGCAACCAGAGGUACCAUCAGGUAGAUGCAUUGUUCUGGGAGGGGGCUGCCUUGCAGGCUGUCAGCAGAGAAGCUGUCAGAGUGGCUCUGCCGUAGAGCUGCCAAGUCUGAUUCCUGUCCCUGCCCUGUGCUGGGGCACUUGCCUGUUUCCUUCUCUUCAUCAUCCUUCAAGCUCCCUGCCUCCAGUAGUUCCCAGAUCAUCCCCUCCUUUGGGCUGUGGCCGGUUUCCCACCGCCAGGAUCCAAUUCCUCUCCCUCUGUGCUUCCCCUGGGGGACUCUUGGUCAGGCAGCUUCCACCACUCCUCCUCAGCCAGCCAGCCCCUGACAUCAACUCCCAGCAGCCCACAUAAUAUGACCCUAUGGUCAGGGAUGAUGGGAGCUGUAGUCCAACAACAGAUACCCCAUCGUUGGCCUAAACUAAGAGCGCUAAAAGCAGUUUUGUGGUAGUAAAACAAUUGGUUCAUCUUCAAACUAAGUAUGCAGCAGCACUGUCCAUAUUGAAAUAGAUCUGCACCAGCAAAGAUUUGUUCAAAAGUCAGUGGUGUGAAGGAAUACUUGCAUGGUUUAACAAAAGCUGCUCGUUGGUCUUAGAAUUUUAAUUCUAAAGUCUCUCAGGUUUCCUUUACUGUUCAGCUAGUCAGCCUGAAUAUCUCUGUGACAUCAGAGUAGUUAAGCCAAUAGCAGUUAAAAGGACAAUGACAGUGUUGUGUAAAAGCUGAGGAAACCGAUGUUUAUAUAUAUGAAGAUUCACAGCAUUUGGAAACACUGGAUGAUGAGAAUAGGGCCCCAAAAUGGAACUCAAAUAAAGGUCAGUUUUGCUCUUUAAACUAGGGGUGGGAUGAAAUUCUGUUCAGUUCACAUCCUUCCCAAGCCACACUUCUCUGAGUUUUGCGAUGCAAUUCUCUAAUAAUAAAAAAUAUGUGUUCAUAAAAUGCAUACAUUUAGGAAAGUGUGCUGAACAUGAGUGCAUUCUAAAAAAUUGCAUUCUGUUAGGGAGAUGUUGCUUGCCAAGAUGUGUAUGUGAGGCACAAUUGCGUACAGAAAUAUUCACAUCAGGAGAAUAUCUGCACUAAAGUGUUGACAAUUUUUGUGAAGUCUUUCUUUUUUUAGUUAAAAACAAAACCAAUGCAGAAAAGUAGCAAAUGAAAUUUAGCACUGAGAAACCAGGACUCAAAAUAGAUUCACCAAUAAUAAUAAUAAUAAUAAUAACAAUAAUAAUAAUAAUAAUAAUCCCCUCUGUGACAGGAUUGAUGGAGAUAACUACUGCUAGCCCAUAGUCUCAGACUUUUGCUGACAUGGAUAUGUAGCUCUGUUAGAAUCCCUGAGCAAUUGUCUGGUACCCCCUCCAGGAGCAAAAUUUCACCAAGAAAGUGGCAUCUAUGGGCAGGAAGAAAACAAGACCUUCCGAAUUUCUGUUCAAGGUAAAGGGGAAAGGCCUGGUUUUUUUAACAGCGGCAACUUGGUUUUAGCAGCUUACAGAGACGAGGAGAAGAGUGGGCAUUUUCAUCGCUCCAAAUCCAUAGGGCAUUGGUAGAAAAGUUAGCAGUUGUGAAGCGGCAAACAGCUGCAUGGAUGGGUAUUCAGGAAGGAUGAUUCAGUGUGACCAGGCAGGGGCGAGAGCUGUGUGAGUAGGACUGGGUACGCACAAGUGGUUGUGGGUGGUUAUGACUGAGUAUCACCACAGAGGAGCAAAUUAGAAUGAUGUGUCAGAGCAAAAGAAAAGAGACUGGGUGUUAUUCGGCAGCAGUUGACUCCUGUGGAGAUAGGUACUUGACCCGGCACAGAGACACAAAAGCAGAUUUUUAAAAUCGAAACCAUCAUCCAGAUUUUUUAUGAUGUUAUUUCCCCAUAUGUUCUAACCAUCGCUCAUUAUCAAGUGCAGUCCCUAUUUUCUGGUUCCUGUCCUUGCUGAAUCACUUGCACAUAAGAAAGAGACCCGUCAGGUAAGCUCAAAGGCCCGUCUAAGUCCAACUUCCAGUCCUCACAGAUGCCUAGGGGAAGCCCACAAACAGAUGUUCCUUUCUUCAUCAGAGACAGUACUUUUUAAUUUUUUUAAAAAAGGUUUAGGGGUACUCUCAUUUUGACUCAAGAAAAUCACCAUUUUAUAGUUCAAAUCGGGGGAAAUAAAUACAGUAAAUGGACCAAAGUAUAAAGAACAUGCUACAAAAGAGGCUUCUGGUGAGACCAGAAGGACAUUGCUAUGCAUGACAACAAAUCCUAAUUAUUGGAUUCUUUUGCCCCAUCUUUUUGUGCCUGUCAAACAGCCGUGUCAUGAUAAUAUUUUAUUCUCUUGUUAAUUAUGCUGUUUUAAAUGUGCAUUUUAUAGUUUGACUUCACUUAGCAAUGUUUUUUUAAAAAAUUGUUUAAGAUGUUUGUUGUUGCUAACUUUGUUUGUGUUAAGUAUGCAUUCUGUAGCUGACCUCCUUUGUAAUGUUUUAUUUUGAAAUUUAGGUUAAUAUUUUAGUUUUCUGUUAAUUAUAUCACUUUGACUGUAUACCCUAUAUUUGACUUUCUUCUUUGAUUCAAGAUUGCUUUAUUGAUGUUUUAAUAAGUUGUAAACCGCUUUGAGAUUUUUCUUAAAAAUAUAAAGCGGUAUAGAAAUGUAAUAAAUAAAUAAUAAUAAAUAAAUAAGUUACCUCCACAUUGCACACUGCUCCGCACAUUAAACACUCACUUCCAUCUGAGACUCAGGAAACACCGGGAAAUGAAGGAAAUGAAGCCGCCAUCAGAGAUGGUAACAAUGAAACUGACCAAUCACUGUGCUAGAUUCUAAUUCCUACUUCACACAUUAAAUGCUCGCUUCCAUCUGAGACUCAGGAAACACUGUGACAGGAAAUGAGACCGCCAUCGGGGGCAGCAACAGGACUGACGAUUCACCACGCUAUUCAACGGAACUGAUGAUUCACUGUGCUAGAGAAGAAACUUUUAAAAAAUAAUAAUAGUUGCUUCUCCCGUUAGAUUCACAAAAUGCUUACGUCCCCCCAGAAAAAGCACUGAUCAGAGAAAUGUUGGGGGGACACACCUCUAUUUUCAUUGAAGAAAUGUUGGAGGGUAUGGAAUAGGGUGUCCCUAUUUUCAUUGGGAAAGUGUUGGAGUGUAUGUUCUUCUUUGGUGGAGGCCUGGUGCCAUUUUCUUAUUUCGCCUCAGGUUCCAAAAUGCCUUGGGCCAGCCCUGUCUGUGGACCAGUUGUAGUUUCAAACAUCUGGAGGGCAUCAGGUUCCCAGACUACAACUCCCAUCAUCCCACAGGCCAUACUUGACUGGGGCUGAUGGGACUUGGAGUCCAAAGCUUCUGAAGGGCACCUGGUGAGGGAUAUUUGCUUUUAUUAUCAAUAUCUUUGUGACUUGAAUGAGAACAAAAACACAUUUGGCCUUGCAGAGGCUUUCUGAGGGAGAAGAACAACAAUGCCACAGUGGGAGGCCUGGCCUGUGAGCGCCUCUGACAAAAACAACACCUAGGCUUACAUCGGGAAAUCAAAGCUUUUGUGAAAAGGAUUUUUUUAAAAAAAUUAAAAACCCACAUCCGAGGCGAGCAGGCAUCGCUUUGGCCCUAGUCCUGCUUACUCACAGGAUACAUCACAACUUGGAAUGAAAACGGGGGCUGUAAACGCUGAGCCUCUGCCGCAUUUUAAAUAGCUUUGUUCCAGAUUGAGCGAUCAUUGUAAUUAAAGUGAAGCCGACUGUCACCCAAAUUGAAGCUACCAAAUUGCAGGUCUGAGAGGUGAUGCAGAAGCAGGUAUCCAACUGCCUGGCAAUCCAUUUAUUAUUAUUUUUUUAAAUGAUAGUUAUUGGGAAAAAAAAUUAGAAUUACAAAAAAAAAACAAAGUAGAAAAAGAGAAAGAAAAAACAAACCACAUCAAACAAUACAAAUUAAUCAAAAUCAAAAUCAAAAAAUAGCACAACACGAUCAAAAGACAAAAAUAUACCACAAACAUUUAAAAACAAAUCCAUUAUUCUCAAAUCCUUAACUGUCAUUACCUUCUUUCUUUGACCUCCUCCUCCUCCCUUUUUUUGUAUCCUAAUUGUUAAUUGUUGCAGCAAAUCCUUUCCAUGUUUCAUAAUAUUCUGUCGUUACAUUACCUUAAUCUAUUUUAAUCUUAUCUUACUAUAAAAAACCUUAAAACCUAAAACGUAAUCUUAUUUUUACCAACUUCUCAUAACCAUAAUAUUCUUACAUAAUUCUUUAAACAUUUUUGCUAAAGCCAAAUAAUUUAAUAAUUUCGUUCCAACAUUUUUCUAACAUUCAUCAAUUUUAUAAAACAAUCCUAAUAAUAAAAAAGAAAUAAAAAAAAACCAUCCAAUCUUCAUCCAGCGUCUCUUCCUCCUGGUCCCGGGUUUUGUCAGUCCUUUUUAUCUCAUCAAUCUAGCGCAUUAACCUGGUAAUCAUAUAUCCGAGGCCCUUAAGUCCCUUCCAUGUCCCUUCCACGGCUCUUCUUCAUAUUUAUAACUGUAUUUUCCUUUGUCUCCUGCUCCUUUCACUCGUGGGAGCUCCAGCUUAGCAAUGUUUUUGACCCUUCUCGACAAAUCAGCCACUUUUCCAUAGUCCACACUAAACUCCAUGUGGUAUUUAAGAACAUGUUUCAAAGUCUCUCCAAAAUUAAGAGCCCUCACAACCCCAAACAUCUCACGGCCCAUUGCCAGACUUGAAAAGUCCAAACAUCCCUGCAUAGGGGGGUCUAUCCAACCCCCCAUUUCCAAACCAAACCAAACUUUAUCUUUCCAAAUCUGGCUUUUUCCAAGUUCAUUUGUCAAAUCCAAGAGCUCAUGUUCCUGCUGGGCCACAGCUCCCUCCAUCUCUGGCGCCCAAGAUUCAGCAACAUCCUCUUCCCUCAUCUGUUCUGUCAGGGCACAUUCCUGAUUUAAUUCCUGAGUGGGCUCCAUAUAAUUUCCCACUGCCUGUUCAAAAUUUUUGAUUGCAUCAGUCAUCAAGUCCGUCUUCUCAUGUAGCUGUUCCAGUAGGGCACUUCUUUUACAGAGAGCACACAGCAGAGCUUCUGAGUACAUUGUCCUGCAAGGUCCGAAGUCUAUUCCCACGAUCGUAAUCUGUAACAGCUGCAAGCUCCCCGAUUCAGAAUUAGUUACAGUUUCACAGGCUCCCUAUAGGGGAAAAACUUCUAUUUGUUCUUUUCUUUUAAAGACAAAUCUAACAACAAACUUUCCUUUUUCAGAUAUUUUGUCAAUAUUUGUUCCUUUAAAAUGCGAAGGGGAACAAUGGAAUCACUAUGUUUCUCUUCUUUUAGCUAUCUGUCAGAAACGUUUGUCUCUGGUCAAUGAGCUUCAAAAAACAUCAGUCCUGACACCCCGCUCCAGGAUCAAGACAGUGGAAAGUUACUUUACUUUACACUCACUUCUGCAGGUUUAAACAGUCCAGAAAAAAUCCCCCCUCUUCUCCUGCUUCCGAAGGGGGUUCAACAAUCUUAAAUGAUGAAAGUUAGUCCUUUACAAGCGAUUUUCUGAGCUCUAGUUUGCCAUGUCUUUGCUUUAAUCUAUCUUCAAAGAAACGGAAGGCUGACUUCCUGUUUAGACCUUCCCGUUUCAGUGCCAAAUUGAAAUAAACUUUUAAGUCCAAUUUUCCUUUCUGCACGCAAGUCCUUAUUUAGAGUCCAAUUGUCCGAAAUUUAAGUACUCACGGGUGAUUGUUUUAGAAGCCAAAUUGUCCCAGGAAAAAGGCAGCGCUCUCCGGCAACGGCUGUGUGGCUUCGCUCCACGGAAGAAGCAGUUGACUCUCAGCACCGCACCACUUCCCCCUCUUCGCUCCGGAGCCCGUUAGUGGGUUCCUUUGCGGGUUGGGGGGGCGCUAAAGGUGCCCGCCAAGUCCCAUGGUCACAGGCUUCAUCAGCCUGUGAUUUUUGAAAGGGUCCCCGCUUCGCCGUAGCGGGAAAGACCCGUUUCCCGUGGAGCUGGUCCCUCCAAAUCAGAGGGAAUCCGCCAUUACCGAUGGCGCCACCCUGGAAGUCCCUGCCUGGCAAUCCAAAGGCAUAAAUGAAACUUUCGAGUUUGCAUCAGUUGAGAGCGUCGUCAGGUUGGAAUCCGCACAAGAAACGGAAGUGGAGAGGUUCCUGGUAAACUGGGCACGUCCAUUUUAAAAAAAGAAGCCCAAGAGGCCCAGUGGUUUAGACCACAGUGCCUCUCGCUCCCUUUACCUGCCAAUCAGUAUACACAGUGAACAGGUAAACAGAGCAGUGAUCUGAUUCAGGAUAAAACAGCUUCCUAAACUCAGAAGGCCUUUUUGUGUGUACCUAAUUUAGUUGCAUUUCCUAAUGCAAUUAUCUCAUUAAUGCACAUGACUAAAUUAGGACCUGUUGCCUUUGUCCAUGGAGUUUUCUUGGCAGGGAUACUGGAGUGGCUUGCCGGUUCCUCCUCCAGCAAUGACAAACCUAGACAGCAUCUUAAAAAGUAGAGACAUCACCUUGCCAACAAAGGUCCGUAUAGUUAAAGCUAUGAUUUUCCCAGUAGUGAUGUAUGGAAGUGAGAGCUGGACCAUAAAGAAGGCUGAUCGCCGAAGAAUUGAUGCUUUUGAAUUAUGGUGCUGGAGGAGACUCUUGAGAGUACCAUGGACUGCAAGAAGAUCAAACCUAUCCAUUCUGAAGGAAAUCAGCCCUGAGUGCUCACUGGAAGGACAGAUCCUGAAGCUGAGGCUCCAAGACUUUGGCCACCUCAUGAGAAGAGAAGACUCCCUGGAAAAGACCCUGAUGUUGGGAAAGAUGGAGGGCACAAGGAGAAGGGGACGACAGAGGGCGGAUGGUUGGAUAGUGUUCUCGAAGCUACCAGCAUGAGUUUGACCAAACUGUGGGAGGCAGUGGAAGACAGGGGUGCCUGGCGUGCUCUGGUCCAUGGGGUCACGAAGAGUCGGACAUGACUAAACGACUAAACAACAACAACAAAUUAGGACCAUGAAUUUCAGUGGGUUUACUCUGAGUAAAACCAUUCUUCUCCUCAUAUACUCUUGUAUAUAUGCCCGUUUCCACUGUUCUGGUUAGAAUCUGAUAGUUGUGAGCAUUUCCCCACUAAGAAGGCAUUUUAUAUAGAUUUCUAUGGAAUAGUCAGUUCCAAAACGAACACGGCUAUUUAUGACAACCAGAUCGUAAGCAUUUCUUACCACCUACAGCUUUAAUCUGUUUAUUAUACAUGCUGUGCUUUUUCGUGUUAAUAGGGAGAGUGAGCAUCGCUGCGGCUAAUAGUCAACUCAGUUGGUGAGUGUUAACAGCACUGCAGCCAACAUGAGGCCAGUGGAAAACAAGGAGAUGUUUGCGUACUCAGAGGAAGCUUAGUUUGCAGAAGUACAAGAGGUAGUUAAACAUCUCAAAAUAGUACAAAAAAGCGGAAACCCAGCCAGAUGGGUGGGGUAAUAAUAAUAAUAAUAAUAAUAGUUGUUGUUGUUAUCCAAUGCUCAGUAGCCAUGGAAUAUUGAAUGUGAAUUGGAAAAGAAAAUGUAUGUUGUGUUGGGGAAAAGAAAACAACUGGAAUGCCUUGCUUCAGCCCCUACAGGUUAUAUUAUCCUGAGGGGUAAGGAUGGGAAAAUCUGUCAAUUUUGGUUCUCUCAGCUUUUCUCCAACCUCAGAUUCAGUCCUCUACAUUUCUGCAGCAAUUUGCAAUUUUUAAAAACAAUCCUUAUAAAAUUCUUCAAUGUUUUAGAGUGAAUUUCUUCUCAUAAACACAUUUAUAUUUAUGUGUGUGUGUGUGUGUGUGUGUGUGUGUGUGUGUGUGUGUUUAUGAGAAGAAAUUCUGCUUUUCUGUAUGUUAUUUUCACAAAUACAUAUUUGGUUUUUAGGCACACUUUCUCCUAAAACAUGCAUUUUUGCGAACACUGGCUGGAGAAUUCUGCACCAGAAAAUUCAGAGAAGUGCAAAUUUCGAAGCCUGGCUGCGUUUUAGUUCGCAUAUUGUUUCGGAAAGCACAAAUCUGAUGGAUUCAGCUUUAAAUGCACACUGAAUCACAUCUCUCCCCCUAAGGAGGAUAUAGUUGGCUAGCUUAAACCCAGAAUGAGCACCCAUGUUGUCGGGUGAUGAUACACGCCAUUAUUUCGUUGCAGGUCCAGCUUGUCAAAUACUAAGUACUCACAAUCACAAAACCUAUGUACUUUUGUAGGUCUGAUCCUGCCCAACAGAGGGUGUCCUUACACGUAUUUUCUUUCCUUGGUGUAUAUAAAAAGAGCAGGCACACUGACCGCAUUCUUGUUCCUAAUCCUCAUCCAGGAUAAGAUUCCUGGGAAACUGAUUUUGCCAGUGUGCUGCAGGAGUUGUUUUGUUUGCCCAGUGCUGAUUGGCUGGUAGUUGUGAUGUCACAAUCCCCAUUGUUCCCACAAACAACCUGCAAGCUAUUUUGAAGGAAUUCAUUCCUGUGUGUGCUUUAAAAAGAGAAAGAACGAACUUUCCCUUGCUUGAACGUACAAAUAUACUUUCGGCUUGAAGCUUGAAGCAUUGGGGGGGGGGCAGCAAAGCACAUUGUUGAUGUUUGAUGCUUUAUUAUUUUUAUGUGUGUUGGAAGCUGCCCAGAGUGGCUGCGGCAACCCAGCCAGAUGGGCGGGGUGCAAAUAAAAAUAUAUUAUUAUAUAUAUUAUUAUUAUUAUUUCAGAAAGGAUUGUCUCCCAGCCCGACGUGGAAAUGUCAAGAAUUCGAAUCUGGGACCAUCUUCGUGAAAAGUAGGUGCUCUUCAACGAAGCAGUGGUCCUUUCUCAAAGUCAGAAACCUUCCUAAGGGGAAACGCUCAAUAAUGUUGGGAGCUGGGAGAUGCCAAACCCCUUUAAUCCCUGGAUCCAGCAAGUGUUAAAAGAUAAGCCUGCUAAUUCUGGGAAAUAGUCAAGCUAGGCUUUGGGGGGGGGGGGUUAUUAGGUUGUUUUUGUUUUGAUUAUGUAUUUUGUGUUUUUUACGCUGUGAUUUUUAUCCUGUGAAUUGCCUUGAGAUCUGCGGGUAUAGGGUAGUAUACAAAUGUUAAUAAUUUUAAUAAUAAUAAUAAUAAUAAUAAUAGACUGAAGAAAUGCACUUCUGCUUUUAAGAGGGGUUUUUUUAGUUUUUCAUUACGAAAUUGUCAAAGUAAAUGUUCUGUCAGUCAGCAAAUGUUACCUCUGUAUAAACCCUUACCUUCAGUUAUUACAUUGAUAUACAUUUUUUAAAAUAUAUAUAUACAUUUUAUUUUAAAUAUAUACAUUUUAUUUAAAAAAUAUACAUUUUAUUUUAAAUAUAUACAUUUUAUUUUAAAUAUAUACAUUUUAUUUAAAAAUAUACAUUUUAUUUUAAAUAGAUACAUUUUAUUUUAAAUAUAUACAUUUUAUUUAAAAAAUAUACAUUUUAUUUUAAAUAUAUACAUUUUAUUUAAAAAAUAUAAAGAGCCUGAUCCAGGCCAUGUGAAGCAUUUCCCCAAGGCUAUACCUGCCAGGAAAGUGGGUUAGGUUUGCAUUUCAAUGCAACCCUACCUAAUGUGCACUUUGUCAGCAAAGGUUGCUAGGCUCUUAGCCGGAGCAAUUAAAAUAAGAUCCAUUGUCUGACCAUUGACUCAGGACCCUAAACUGCGUUUUUAUAUUUAAUUCCCAUUUUCUUCCGUGUAUAUUGUAAUGUUCUCUUGUUUCUAUGGCCAUUGGCUGAGGCGAAUAAAGUUUCUAUUGAUUGCAUUUUGUCAAACAAGACAUUAAGCAAAACACAGCUACCAUUAGGAAUUUACACUUCUCAAAAUUUUGCAAGAGAAGCUAUCCACCCCCCAAAAAAAUGUGUACAAAGGUGCGUUUAUUAGGGGGAAGUGUGCAUUAAAAUGCAUACGUGGGAAAAAUAACCUGCAAAGAUACAUUAUAUUAAGGAAAUUUGUUUGCAAAGGAAGUGUAUUAAGCAAAAUUGAAUAAAAAAAAUGUAUUUUAGGAGAAAUGUGCCAUGAAAUGCAAUAUUUUGUGCGACUCUUUUUUUAAACUGCAAACUGAUGCAGAAAUAUGAUGCAGAAACUGAUUUUAAGAUUGGAAUAAUUAGAAAUGGCAAGAAACUGAGAUUGAACUUUGUCUUCAACAUGAGACAAAGUGCAUAAGAUUCCUCUUUAAGUUCUACUUAUCUGAGCAAGAGUUUGACUAUCCUAUUGAAAAUGAUGAGCCUUAACAGUGCUUAGCCUUGGCUGAAUCAUGCCCUAAAUCUCAUAAAUCUAGAGAAGGAUUUGGUUUGAUUUACUGCGUUUGAGCUUCUUUAACAACAGCUCAAAGCAUCCCAACAAUAGCAAAACAGGAAAAAGGUAUUAAUUGCAUUUUGCUCAAAAUAUCUGUAGGAAUUCAAGGUUCAGUGGAACACAGAAGCACAUUUCCUCCCCUCAGAGAUAUCCUGGGCUCUUUUUUAAAUCUUCAUCUUUCAUCCCUUUUCUUUCUUUUUUUAAAAAAGACUCUAGUCCUCUUCCAUAAGGAAAUAUAAGGGAGUAAACAGUGCUGGAUUUACGUAUAAGCUAAACAAGCUAUAGCUUAGGGCCCCACUCUCUUGGGGGCCCCAAAAAAAUCUAAAGGGAAAAAACCUGAUGUACUUUGAUAAAAUACAUAUUUUGUUAUGUGCAAAUGGCUUUAGAUACCUAUUAGGUCCAUAAAUUACCAUAUAGCAUAUAUUCAACACAAAACCAGUGACAAUUUGUUGUUGACAAAGGACAGCUGGACAUAUAAAGGGCCCCAUCACCUUCAGUAGCUUAGGGCCUCAUCAAACCUAAAUCUGGCCCUGGGAGUAACAUACUUUUCUCUAUUCCAAAGUAAAAAAAAAGGGGGGGAAGUAAGCCAAAUCUCCCCACAUCCUGGUGUUCUGGCCAAGGUACUAGGGUGAGAGAGAGAGAUAAAUGUCGAAACUACGGAACUAAAUACAAUAUCAAUAAAACCCAUCUGACUGGGUUGCCCUAGCUACUCUGGGUGGCAUUCAACAUAAUAAAACACAGCAAAGCAUUAAACAUUAAAAAGAUUUCAGGUGCAUAUUGGAAGAAUCUGUUCUUCCAUUGCUGUCCCUUCUGCAGGCAAACCGGCAUCAUAUUGUUUUGCCCAUUUUCAGAUGCGCCUACUUAGGAUUUUGCUCUUUGAUUCAACUCACCCUGCAUGUAUUCUGAAGUUCUUCCACCAAACCAAUUCCUGAUUAGGUCUGCAGAGGCUCUUGGCUACUGACCAGCAAAGAACUUUGAUUACUAUGAACUGAUUAGUUUCCAUUAGUUUACGGGUUGUAAUGUAUUGUUUUACGUCAAGUUCGCAGUUUUUUUCGCUUUAAAAAAAAGAAGAAGCUAUACAAGACCAUUUUCAAGUUCUCUUGAUUGUUAUAUAUAUAUAUACUGUUAAGCAUAAGAACAUCUCUAUUGUUUCUCUACCAAUAGGGUUGUCUGUCGUGAACAUGUGUGCAAUAAUGAUAAAAAGGUCUAUUUUCUGUUCUGUUUGCACAUGAACUUAAAAGAUAGGACUUAUAUUAUAUUAUAUUAUAUUAGUUGCAAUUUCCCCAGAAACCCCCCAAGUAGCCUGAAAAAAAUAACCCUUCCAGCAUUUUAACAAUUUUUACAUUCUUAGCGGUGCCCCAGAAAAUCUUAAAGCUACAAUAAGAACAUUUCUGUGUCAUAGGGGCAGGGCCCAGGAACUGGCAUAGUACCACAUCUUUUUGCAGUGAGUAAUCUCAGGUGUUACUUCCAGGGUAGGUUUGUACAGACAAGUGGGUAUAACAUGUUGUUCCCCACCGGAAGCAAUGAGUGAUGGGCUUUAAUGGUGAGAAGGGAACAGAUAGAAAACAUCAAGUACAAUAUUGACUGGGAAAAGAAUCCCAUCCAUGUAAAUUUCGCCUGGGGCUCUGCAGUGAAAAUCUUGGCAUUGGGCCCCCUUGGUAGAAAUGAACUAUUCCCAUGACUUUGGUUAUUGUGGACUGAGGCUUUCUACUGUUUUCUUUUGCAGUUUAGAACCAGAUAUUAAUGAUGUGGUAAUGGAAUUUUCUUAGAUACAAAAAUUAUUCUACAGUUGCUUCAGGCACCAGCUCUCUCCUCCUGGUUCUCGGCUCUGAACAACUUGUUGCAAACAAUGACUCUCUCUCCAGACAGGUGUAGUUUGACUCUUAAAAGCCAAAUGCACUUAAACACCUGGUUGUUUUCCUUUUUAUCUGCUGCUUUUAUGGCUGCACUUUUCAAGGAUUGCCGGUUUGUUUUCUGUAUUCCAUUUAUCUUCAUUUUUGUUCUUAUGAGUUCCCUCGAGCUUAGCGAGGAGGCAGGAUAUAAAUGAAUGGAUGAAUAAUGCCGCGAUCCACUGAAGCUGCGUUUGGCUAACCUGAGGCCUUCCUGGUGUGCUUGGAUUCCUGCUGCCAUCACCCCCAGCCAGCAUAGCCAAUGAUUGGGGGAGCUGUAGUCUGGAAACAUCUGAAGGGCCACAGGUUCUCCACCUCUGAGCGAAAUGAUUUUUGCCCCAUGGGUUUCGGAAUGGGAGAGUGCUUAACUUUCCUUCUGAAGUCAGUGGGGGGCUGAUGUUUUGAUUUGACUGAGUGGAACAAACAAAGAAAGCAAUUAAACGGGGGGGGGGACCCUGUCAACACACCCACGUACCUCAUUUUUGUCGAGAUCUUGCAUUUCUUGAUCACAUGGCUCGCUGUUCAACGACGGCCUUUCCCCCCCUGAAAAACAAAUGGAGAUCAGCUUGUUUUGAGCUGCAUGUUUGCCGCGCCUCAGAAGAGCAUCGCACAUAAAUGCCGGGAGAUUUCUUUUUAAAUGAGCUUUUUUAAAACAAAAAAAACCCCAGAAAACAAAAAAAAAACAAGCUCUCCAUCUGAAACUCCAUCUGAAAAUCAUUUGACUAUUAUAGCCAUUUCACUAACUACUUAAUUACAGCCAUCUAUCUACGUCUGUCUCACCCUGACACCCACAGAUGCAUCCGCCCACAGAGAUCUACCCACGCAAACCUCCUCUGUGACUCAUGUGACGAAUGGUUGUCAAAAAGAAAAGGGAAAACAGAGGAAAGAAAGAAAUCCCCCACUCCCUGCCAAACGCAAACACUUUCUUCAAACGUAUGCUGUUUCCUUUUUAUCUCUUUCCGUGUGUUUCUGUGAGUCAUCCGAUCGGUCUCUGAUCUAAACCCAGGAGACGAGAACCUACAUGUACGAGGCAAUUACGUGCAUUUGGCUUAGAUUAUUGGUGGUUGUGCAGCCACCUUAGAAAACGCAAGCAGCUAAUAUUCUGAAAUUCUCACUCCACCCCCAUCGAAAGCAUAGUAGCCUUUAAGAAGUGCCGUUUUUACUCUGGAAGAUUGUGACGAAAAUAUCGGGGUGAGAACUGCCAUGAAGCAAGAAAAUCUGAAAUAUAGGUGCACUCGCUCUAUACACACACAGAUCUCAAUAAUUACUAGUAUUUAAGAACAUAAGAACACAAUAAGAACUUGCUGGAUCAAGUCCAUGUCUCAACUUGUCCAGCAUUUUGUUCUCACAGUGGCUGACCAAGAACAGCCUUAAAGGUAAAGGUAAAGGGACCCCUGACCAUUAGGUCCAGUCAUGACCGACUCUGGGGUUGCGGCGCUCAUCUGGCUUUAUUGGCCGAGGGAGCCGGCGUACAGUUUCUGGGUCAUGUGGCCAGCAUGACUAAGCCGCUUCUGGCGAACCAGAGCAGCGCACGGAAAUGCUGUUUACCUUCCCUAUUUAUCUACUUGCACUUUGACAUGCUUUCGUACUGCUAGGUUGGCAGGAGCAGGGACUGAGCAACGGGAGCUCAACGGGAGCUCAUCAUGGGGAUUCAAACCGCCAACCUUCUGAUUGGCAAAUCCUAGGCUCUGUGGUUUAACUCACAGCGCCACCGGUGUCCCACAAGAACAGCCUUAUACUCCGUAAAUUUGUCCAAUUCUCUCUUAAAGCCAUCCGAAUUCGAGUGGUCAGGGCAACUCAGUCAGAUGUGCAGGGCACAAUAAUCGUCGUCGUCGUCAUCAUCAUCAUCAUCAUGAAGGUGACUUACAACAUCCCAGUCGUAAGCAGUUUUACGGGGAAAAAGCAAGUUCCAUUAAACCAAUAUAUUACACUGUACUUUUUCCUUUCUCUUUCCCCACUCCUUUUCCCCACUUUUUAAAAUUCCUCUCAUUUAUCACAUUAUUUCUUUAUAAAUGAAAAUCUUUCAAUAAAAUAUCAAUUAAAAAAACCCUGAAUGGGAUACAUGUGAGUUAAUAUAUACAUAUAUCAUUAGAAUCGCAGUGUUUAGAAUGCACAGUGGUACCUCUAGUUACGAACUUAAUUUGUUUCAGAUGUCCGUUCUUAACCUGAAACUGUUCUUAACUAGAGGCGUGCUUUCGCUAAUGGGGCCUCUUGCUGCCGCUGCGCCGCCAGCACACGAUUUCCGUUCUCAUCCUGGGGCAAAGUUCUCAACUCGAGGUAACUCUUCCAGGUUAGCGGAGCUUGUAACCUGAAGCGUUUGUAACCUGAGGCGUUUGUAACUCAAGGUACCACUGUACUGGCUUAGUACUUUUAAUCAGGCGUAAUUUUCUGGCUUGAAACCCAAGUGGGAUUUAAGAAUGAUGCAAUUGUACUGUCAACAGUACAUGGUCACUUUGUUGAGUAAGCUUGGGCAAUUUUUAAAUUCAUCAAAUGGAUUGAGGGCCACCAGCCAGGGAUGGCGGCCCCACCAGUCUUGAGACCAGUCAGUUUUUCUGCCAGCCUGUGAAUGCAAAACAAAAUUUAAAAGGGUGUGCCAAGGAGUUUCGAGCAUUAGGAAGUCACAGAACAAGCCUGUCUGCUGCAUUCAUUGUGUGCCUCAACUCACAGGUCACAAGUUCUGCAGACCUGCUGUCCAGGCCCACUCACAACACCUAGCAGAGAUGGAGGCACGCAGGUCCAUACCACCUGCUUGGUCCAAUAAGGCUCUUUUUUUGGAAAACCUAGAACAACAGUUGCCUGCUAAACACAUGCCUGUUAAAAAAUAUAACGGGUCAAGCAGCCUUGAGAAAUUAAAAACACCAUGACAGGUCCAAAUCUGCAGGCUAACAAGCUAUUCUGCAACUGCAGAAGUGGGAGGAUGAAAAGAGAGAAUAAUUUUGGCAAUGGGGCCAGUUAGCAUCCAGUCAUGAUGUACUCAAGGAACUUAAAAACAGAAAGUGUAAUGCUAGUAAAGGACCCCUGACCAUUAGGUCCAGUCGUGACCGACUCUGGGGUUGCGGCGCUCAUCUCGCUUUACUAGCCGAGGGAGCCGGUGUACAGCUUCCAGGUCAUGUGGCCAGCAUGACUAAGCCGCUUCUGGAGAACCAGAGCAGCGCACGGAAACGCUGUUUACCUUCCCGCUGGAGCGGUACCUAUUUAUCUACUUGCACUUGGAUGUGCUUUCGAACUGCUAGGCUGGCAGGAGCAGGGACCGAGCAAUGGGAGCUCACCCCGUCAUGGGGAUUCGAACCGCCGACCUUCUGAUCAGCAAGUCCUAGGCUCUGUGGUUUAACCCACAGCGCCACCUGCGCCCAAGCAUAAUGCUGGUGGUCAACAAAAGAGGUUUAAAGACUCUCUUGAGGCAAAUCUUUAAAAAUGUAGUAUAAACACCGACAACUGGGAAACACUGGCCUGCGAGCGCUCCAGUUGGAGAACAGCCUUUACCAAAGGUGUCAUGGGCUUUGAAGAUGCUCGAACUCAGGACGCAAGGGAGAAACGUGCUAAGAGAAAGGCACACUUGGCAAACCCUCACCAUGAUCAACUCCCACCUGGAAACCUAUGUCCCCACUGUAGAAGGACGUGUGGAUCCAGAAUCGGCCUCCACAGUCACUUACGGACUCACUGUUAAAACUGUGUUUAUGGGAGACAAUCUUACUCGGCUAGGAGUGAUCGCCAAAGAAGAAAAAAGGCUCAAGGCUUUGAGUACAAGUCAAGUAGUUAUGGAUUUAAAGUUAUGUGCGCCAUGAGUUCAGUCUUCUCUGCUAUGCUGAAAUGCAUUGCUUUUCUGUUUUAAUUACAGAUAAAUGUGCAGAUAUUCUCCUGCAUUAUCAUAUGCAAAUAUUGUGCAGAUCUCUGCCCUCUGUAGUGCUGUACGUGUGUGGCAUUUAUUUUUAUUUAUUUUUUGACAAUGCAUCAGCUUAGCUAGCUUGCUUCCAUUUGUCAGGACUGCCAGGAUGAGUCCAUCCUACUUGCACCUCCGCCAACCUCGUAUACACUUUCCCCAAGGAGUAAGUCCCAUUCAACUAAACAGGACUUACUUCUGGGCAUAGGAAUGCCCUGUAGGUUUGCUAAGUGCCUAGCAUUACACAGUGUUGAUGUACUUGAUUUAUGACCUCAUUUAUGAAUGGGAAAUAAGAGGUACCAGCUGGAGGUAUCCACACUGCCACUGAAUCAUUUUCAAAAUAAUAAGUGUUAGGAGAAUCAAUAAAAACAACCGAAAUUAGACACUUGAAGGCAGGGCCUCCUUUUGCUCCAACAAAAAGAGAUGGCAAAUGUCUCACUGGUCUCUAAAUAGGCUUGGCAUCUCCUGCUGGAUUCAUGUAUCAGAUGUGGAACUCAUAUGAUAAAAGAAAUUAAACAGGGCCAGAUUAACUGCUAGGCUAAUGACCACUACAUUCGCAAAGUGAUUCCUAGCCACUGCCCCAUAAGAUCAGAUGCACUCAUUUCAGUACAUGCAAUCUCCCCAAAUGCACAUGUUCACCCUAAACUCACUCUCACUACUUCCCCUUCUGCAUGGCAGAUGACUGGUGCAGAUGAGAGUCAUCUGCGGAACCUACGUGAUUCAGGCUCCAUAUACACUACGUAUACACGGAAAGCACAUUCAAAGCACGUUCUUUUCCAUAAAGCAUUCUGAGCACUGAAAUUUACCCCGCAGAGAGUUACAAUUCCCAGCAACUCUGUAACAAACCAAAGAACAACGUCACCUAGCAAUGCCAUUUCAGAUUAAAGCUGGCUGGGGUGGGUGGGAGUGGGGAUUUUAUUAAUUAAUUAAAAGAUUGGUAACCAGCCUUCUGACUAAAACUUUCCAAGGUGACUAAUAAGACAUCAUAUAAUGAACCAUGUAAACAUACUUCAAGGACCGCCUCUUUCCAUAUGAACCUACCCGGACCCUGAGAUCAACUUCUGAGCCCCUUCUUAACGUGCCUCCUCCACGAGAGGUUCAGAGGGUGACAACACGAGAACGGGCCUUUUUUGCAGUGGCUCCCUGUCUGUGAAAUGCUCUCCCCAGGGAAGUUCACUUGGUGCCUUCAUUAUACACCUUUAGGCGCCAGGCAAAAACAUUCCUCUUUAACCAGGCCUUUGGCUGAUUGACAUCCAAUACCCUUUUAAAAUGUGUGUGUGUGUGUGUGUGUGUGUGUGUGUGUGUGUGUAGGGUGUUAUUGGGUUGUUUUUGUUUUGAUUAUGUAUUUUGUGUUUGGAUAUUGUGAUUUUAUCUUGUGACUCACCUUGAGACCUGUAGGUAUAGGGCAGUAUACAAAUUUAAAGAAGAAGAAGAAGAAGAAGAAGAAGAAGAAGAAGAAGAAGAAGAAGAAGAAGAAGCAGCAGCAGCAGCAGCAGCAGCAGCAGCAGCAGACUGGAUUCUUAAAAUGUCUGCUACACUGGUCAUAGCACCAGAAGUAAGACGAGGCGCUGUUCCAAGCAACCCAAAAGCACCCAAUGCCAUAAAAGAAGGAGCCAUAUAAAUGUCCCUAGGUGCCACCACCGAGAAGGUCCUGUUUUGUAUCACCACCUAGUAUAAUUCAGACAGUGAGGCACAAGAAGCAGGGCCAUGGAAGAAGAUAUCCCUAUAUGCCGUUGCACACCACCCUAAUUUCCGAGCGGUGCAAGAUUCCAGGGGUUCCAGGCACGGUGGAGGGGUUCACAGCAUUAACACCCCGAAAGGAUCUUCUUUCUCCCAUAGCCACAGCCUUGGAUUCAAAUAUAAAUCCAGCAUGGCCCUCUCUCCUGCUUGCUACUUUGAUUCCAGCUCACAUCACUGCAAUUUUCAGCUCUAAAACUCUGGCUUUGUCUUCACGCACAAGCUGAGUUGGGAAAGGGGGCCCCACCCAUUUGCCGUCUCGCACAGAGCCGCUUCCUUUGUUCCCCUUAAUGGCUGAUCGCCCAGCUAACCCCUCACCAGGAGGCUAGCCUGGCUAUUCCAAGAACCAGAAGCCUUGAUUAAAUUCUAACACUUGCCGGAUCCAGGGAUUAGAAGGGUCUCAGCAUAUAGGCUAACACCCCAAACCCCUAACAAUAAGUAGGUUCCCAUGGGCUCAGGCCAUUUAGGGCUUAAAAUGUCAAGCCCAGCACUUUAAAUUGGGUCUGGAAACCAAGUGGGAGCCGGUGAAGUAGUUGCAAAAGUGUUUCCGCACGCAUCUGUCAACACCCCAGCGGCCACAUGUUGCACCAGCUGCAAUUUGUGGGUGCUUUUCAAAGGCAACCCCACACAGAGCGCAUUGCAGUAGUCUAAUCUCGAUGUGACUAAGGCUUGGUUCACCCCGCUCACUUCACAGCACUCUCCCACCGCAGAGCAGGUCUGAGUAAUCUACUGGCAGUUGUUUGCAAGAUGCGAUGUGCUCUCUGAAACGAUUCCUUGUGGCUGCUGUUUUGCGAUGGACGUGGUUUUUCAUUAUUUUGUCUGGAGGCAAAUGUUAGAUUUUUACAUGUGUUGUUAAUGCUGCUUGAUUUGUGUGUGGGGAGGGAUGUGGCACAUGUCCAUACACACACACACACACACACACACACACACACACACACACACACACACACUUGUGUGGUUGGGCCAGAAAGCUGUUGGAUAGGGUCCAAAAUCAUUACAACCUUGAGAAGACCCCCAGCAUGUACAGUGGUACCUCGGGUUACAUACGCUUCAGGUUACAUACGCUUCAGGUUACAGACUCCGCUAACCCAGAAAUAGUGCUUCAGGUUAAGAACUUUGCUUCAGGAUGAGAACAGAAAUCAUCCUCCAGCGGCACAGCAGAAGUGGGAGGCCCCAUUAGCUAAAGUGGUGCUUCAGGUUAAGAACAGUUUCAGGUUAAGUACGGACUUCCGGAACGAAUUAACCCGAGGUACCACUGUAUACUAAAUCUAGCAUUCUCCUUGUCCUGGGUUUAUGUCAAACUCCCUGCAACUUGAAAAUCCAUCUUUUUAUAUAAGAUACAGAAGCAGCCGGCACAUUCACAGUGAAAGGAAAAUCUGGGAUACUCUUGGCUUGGCGAAUGUACAGAGAGCGGAAUACUCUCCUGGAGAAGACUCCAGAGUAACGAAGUCAUAUGGAAAGGAAUGGAAGCUAGCCUAUUGCUCACAUUCGUGCGGAGACAUGCUUGGUACAAAUAAAUCUCUGGAGGAGACGUUGUUGGCUUAAAGGCCUGCGUGUUUGUGUCAUACAUUCUGCGAUACAGUGCGAAGCCCUGCUGCCCUUUGGUCCAGCUCUGUCUAUGUGUUCAUUUUCUUGAUUUUUGAUUGUUUAAAAUGACGCUCUUCACAUCAGAUUUUUAUUUUUUAAAAAAUAAAGAGGAAGCAUUGUUGCAGACACGCUUGCCAAGGAAAACACAAGCUGUUUCUGCUCAGGCAGGGUACUUACUGCAUGAUGCGUCACAGGAAAGGUUCUGUCGGGGUGGAGUGGGAUGGUUUAUUAUUUUAAAACCUCUUUGUAGUCAAUGAAGCUUGCGUUUCUAGCAUGUACAUAAAUUGGCCGUGGUAUAAUUAGCCAGGCUACCGCUGCCGAUUAAAACGAUAAAUCCUUGCAGCGAAGAAGUGUUGAAAGCAAAUGAGCGUGUCACAUUCUUCUUCUUGGAUAUAGAGAAGUGGGGAGUUUAAGCGGACUUAAGUAGACAUGAGUUUUAGCUUUUAACUGGUCUGCUUUAACUUGCCACUAACCUUAUGGGCAACUCCAGCUAAACAAAAGGGGGAAUGGGCUACACAUGGACUACCAGGCAGAGGGCCUUCUCGGUGGUGGCGCCUGCUCUGUGGAACUGCCUUCUGUCAGACGGCAAGGAAAUAAACAACUCCCUGACUUUUAGAAGAAAUCUGAAGGCGGCCCUGUUGAGGGAAGUUUUCAAUAUUUGAUGUUCUAUUCUGUUUUUAAUCUGUUGGGAGCCACCCAGAGUGGCUAUUAAUAAUAAUAAUAAUAAUAAUAAUAAUAAUAAUUAUUAUUAUUAUCAUCAUCAUCAUUAUUAUCAUUCACAGAACACACAAUGGGUAAACUAAGAAUACCUGUUUUGGAUUUUCAUUGAGCAGGAGGAGAGUGAAGAGUUGUCAUGGGCCAGGAGUCAACUUCACCUGCUGAACAGUAGCCUGAAGGGGGAGAAAGGGGAGUGACUCCACCUGCAGCUGAUCAGCCUUCAAGGCCAGGAGGAGAAGGCAAUGAUGAGAACCUUCUGGCUUCAGCCUUCUUAAGCAGAGCUCUCAGCAGCCGUCAGAUGCUGGAAACAAUGCCUGUGGUUCCGGACUCUACCUUUCUGCUCUCUGCUCAUCACCUGGACCCUUGGCUCUGUGAUCAUCUGGAUUCCCUGAUCAGUGGACUGGACCCUUAGCUCUGUGAUCAUCUGGAUUCCCUGACUUCUGGACUGUACGCGGAUUCUGCUCCUAGUCCCUGCAUGCUCAGCAACGGGACUUGGGAUGGCGCUAGGACAAGAGUGGGAAGGUUCAUAGCAAGAAGUAGACCCUUUGAAAAGCACAGACUGGGACUUGGGCGUGUAACAUUUUAUUUUAUUUAUAAAAAUGCAUGCCCCACCUUUCAUUGCAAGCAACGUCAGGGUCCAAUAAAACAACACAAGCACAC